AGCCUGUGAUGACAAACUAAAUUUUACUUUUCUGACACCUACUAUGAGAGCUGAACUCCAGCCUCUGAUUCUGAAUUUAAACUGAGGCUC